rnacentral:piRNA from 1 species
UGUGAGUGGCAUUGCAGGCGUUGAAGC